AGAGCGAACGCUGGCGGCAGGCUUAACACAUGCAAGUCGAGCGGGCGUAGCAAUACGUCAGCGGCAGACGGGUGAGUAACGCGUGGGAACGUACCUUUUGGUUCGGAACAACCCAGGGAAACUUGGGCUAAUACCGGAUAAGCCCUUACGGGGAAAGAUUUAUCGCCGAAAGAUCGGCCCGCGUCUGAUUAGCUAGUUGGUGAGGUAAUGGCUCACCAAGGCGACGAUCAGUAGCUGGUCUGAGAGGAUGAUCAGCCACAUUGGGACUGAGACACGGCCCAAACUCCUACGGGAGGCGGCAGUGGGGAAUAUUGGACAAUGGGCGCAAGCCUGAUCCAGCCAUGCCGCGUGGAUGAUGAAGGCCUUAGGGUUGUAAAGUCCUUUUAACGGGGAAGAUAAUGACGGUACCGUAGAAUAAGCCCGGCUAACUUCGCGCCAGCAGCCGC
rnacentral:rRNA from 1 species